CUCUCUGCCUUUGCUCCUUCCUUGGGGCUCACUGCCUGUAUUUGCUCCUGGUGCUGCAGAGGACACAGCUCUGAUUUAAAGGCCUGGAGUGGUGGGAGCCAGAGGAACUCUCAGCUCUGAGGAGUUCCCAGAGCCAGACACGAGCCAGGGUGGGCAGGAAGCAGCAAGGCUCAGGCUGGGUGCAUUGGUGCACCCGAUGGAUUCACACUGCAGGAACUUCUGAGGGAGUUUUUAAUUAACACAACCUGUAAGCCACUGAGAAGGUCUCCAGAUUCCAGGUGUUCCUGCUCUUAUGGAGUGAUGUGACCUGGCAUAAGUGAGCUAUUCAAC